rnacentral:rRNA from 4 species
UUUCAACAACGGAUCUCUUGGUUCUGGCAUCGAUGAAGAACGCAGCGAAAUGCGAUAAGUAGUGUGAAUUGCAGAAUUCAGUGAAUCAUCGAAUCUUUGAACGCACAUUGCGCCCUUUGGUAUUCCAAAGGGCAUGCCUGUUCGAGCGUCAUUUGUACC